UACGGAAGGCAGCAGUGGGGAAUAUUGCACAAUGGGCGAAAGCCUGAUGCAGCUAUGCCGCGUGUAUGAAGAAGGCCUUAGGGUUGUAAAGUACUUUCAGCAGGGAGGAAAGAAAUAAAACUAAUAAUUUUAUUUUGUGACGUUACCUGAAGAAGAAGCACCGGCUAACUCCGUGCCAGCAGCCGCGGUAAUACGGAGGGUGCAAGCGUUAAUCAGAAUUACUGGGCGUAAAGAGCGCGUAGGUGGUUUUUUUAAGUCAGAUGUGAAAUCCCUAGGCUUAACUUAGGAACUGCAUUUUGAAACUGAAAACUAGAGUAUCGUAGAGGGAGGUAGAAUUCUAGGUGUAGCGGUGAAAUGCGUAGAUAUCUGGAGGAAUACCUGUGGCGAAAGCGGCCUCCUAAACGAAUACUGACACUGAGGUGCGAAAGCGUGGGGAGCGAAACAGGGAUUAGAUACC
rnacentral:rRNA from 1 species